UACAUGGGGUGCAAACGUUGCUCGGAAUUAUUGGGCGUAAGGCGCACGUAGGCGGUUUGUUAAGUCGGAUGUGAAAUCCCUCGGCUCAACUGAGGAAGUGCAUCCGAAACUGGCAAGCUUGAGUACGAAAGAGGGUCGCGGAAUUCCCGGUGUAGAGGUGAAAUUCGUAGAUAUCGGGAGGAACACCGGUGGCGAAGGCGGCGACCUGGGUCGAUACUGACGCUGAGGUGCGAAAGCGUGGGGAGCAAACAGG
rnacentral:rRNA from 1 species